CUUAGACUUUGAUCCUGGCUCAGGAUGAACGCUGGCGGUAUGCUUAACACAUGCAAGUCGAACGGUGUCUUCGGACAUAGUGGCGGACGGGUGAGUAACGCGUGAGAAUCUAGCUUCAGGUCUGGGACAACCACUGGAAACGGUGGCUAAUACCGGAUGUGCCGGAAGGUGAAAGGCUUGCUGCCUGAAGAUGAGCUCGCGUCCGAUUAGCUAGUAGGUGGGGUAAGAGCCUACCUAGGCGACGAUCGGUAGCUGGUCUGAGAGGAUGACCAGCCACACUGGGACUGAGACACGGCCCAGACUCCUACGGGAGGCAGCAGUGGGGAAUUUUCCGCAAUGGGCGAAAGCCUGACGGAGCAAUACCGCGUGAGGGAGGAAGGCUCUUGGGUUGUAAACCUCUUUUCUCAGGGAAGAACACAAUGACGGUACCUGAGGAAUCAGCAUCGGCUAACUCCGUGCCAGCAGCCGCGGUAAUACGGAGGAUGCAAGCGUUAUCCGGAAUGAUUGGGCGUAAAGCGUCCGCAGGUGGCUGUGUAAGUCUGCUGUCAAAGAGCAAAGCUCAACUUUGUAAAGGCAGUGGAAACUACACGGCUAGAGUGCGUUCGGGGCAGAGGGAAUUCCUGGUGUAGCGGUGAAAUGCGUAGAGAUCAGGAAGAACACCGGUGGCGAAGGCGCUCUGCUAGGCCGCAACUGACACUGAGGGACGAAAGCUAGGGGAGCGAAUGGGAUUAGAUACCCCAGUAGUCCUAGCUGUAAACGAUGG
rnacentral:rRNA from 1 species